UACGUAGGGUGCGAGCGUUGUCCGGAUUUAUUGGGCGUAAAGAGCUCGUAGGCGGCUUGUCGCGUCGACUGUGAAAUCCCGUGGCUCAACUGCGGGCUUGCAGCCGUUACGGGCAGGCUAGAGUUCGGUAGGGGAGACUGGAAUUCCUGGUGUAGCGGUGAAAUGCGCAGAUAUCAGGAGGAACACCGGUGGCGAAGGCGGGUCUCUGGGCCGAUACUGACGCUGAGGAGCGAAAGCGUGGGGAGCGAACAGG
rnacentral:rRNA from 1 species